AGAGUUGAUCAUGGCUCAGGACGAACGUUGGCGGCGUUGCCUUACACAUGCAAGUCGAACGUGAAGGAGUUACUGGCUUGCCAGUAGCUCCGGAAAGUGGCGAACGGGAGCGUAACACGUGAGGAACCUGCCUUGGAGUGUGGAAUAACCACGAGAAAUCGUGGCUAAUACCGCAUAAUGCCGCGGCCUCGCAUGGGGACCGCGGUUAAAGAUGGCCUCUGCUUGCACGCUAUCGCUUCGAGAUGGUCUCGCGGCCUAUCAGCUAGUUGGUGAGGUAAUGGCUCACCAAGGCGACGACGGGUAGCCGGCCUGAGAGGGUGUCCGGCCUCAUUGGGACUGAGACACGGCCCAGACUCCUACGGGAGGCAGCAGUGAGGAAUCUUGCGCAAUGGACGAAAGUCUGACGCAGCGACGCCGCGUGAGGGAUGAAGGCCUUCGGGUUGUAAACCUCUGUCAGGGGGAACGAACACGGAAACGGCGAAUACCCGUUUUCACUGACGGUACCUCCAGAGGAAGCACCGGCUAACUCCGUGCCAGCAGCCGCGGUAAGACGGAGGGUGCAAACGUUGUUCGGAAUCACUGGGCGUAAAGGGCGCGUAGGCGGACCGGUAAGUCGGGAGUGAAAACUUGGGGCUCAACUCCAAGCCUGCUUCCGAAACUGCCAGUCUUGAGGGCGGAGAGGAGAGUGGAAUUCCUAGUUGUACGGUGGAAUGCGUAGAUAUUAGGAGAACACCAGUGGCGAAGGCGACUCUCUGGACGGUUCUGACGCUGAUGCGCG
rnacentral:rRNA from 1 species